rnacentral:rRNA from 1 species
UACAGAGGUCCCGAGCGUUGUUCGGAUUUACUGGGCGUAAAGGGUGCGUAGGCGGUGGGGUAAGUUUGAGGUGAAAGCUCCGGGCUCAACCCGGAAAAUGCCUUGAAAACUAUCCGGCUAGAGGGUUGGAGGGGAGACUGGAAUUCUCGGUGUAGCAGUGAAAUGCGUAGAUCUCGAGAGGGACACCAGUGGCGAAGGCGGGUCUCUGGACAACACCUGACGCUGAGGCACGAAAGCCAGGGGAGCAAACGGG